AGUGAACGCUGGCGGUAGGCCUAACACAUGCAAGUCGAACGGCAGCACAGUAAGAGCUUGCUCUUACGGGUGGCGAGUGGCGGACGGGUGAGGAAUACAUCGGAAUCUACUUUUUCGUGGGGGAUAACGUAGGGAAACUUACGCUAAUACCGCAUACGACCUACGGGUGGAAGCAGGGGAUCUUCUGACCUUGCGCGAUUGAAUGAGCCGAUGUCGGAUUAGCUAGUUGGCGGGGUAAAGGCCCACCAAGGCGACGAUCCGUAGCUGGUCUGAGAGGAUGAUCAGCCACACUGGAACUGAGACACGGUCCAGACUCCUACGGGAGGCAGCAGUGGGGAAUAUUGGACAAAGGGCGCAAGCCUGAUCCAGCCAUACCGCGUGGGUGAAGAAGGCCUUCGGGUUGUAAAGCCCUUUUGUUGGGAAAGAAAAGCAGCAGGUUAAUACCCCGCUGUUCUGACGGUACCCAAAGAAUAAGCACCGGCUAACUUCGUG
rnacentral:rRNA from 1 species